rnacentral:tRNA from 1 species
GCGCCUGUAGCUCAGCCGGAUAGAGCAGCUGCCUUCUAAGCAGCCGGUCGGGGGUUCGAGUCCCUCCAGGCGCGCCA